rnacentral:lncRNA from 1 species
CACUACAUAGGAUGAAACCUACCUUGCUUGCACAGAAGCUGCAUGGAAGUACGAAAUAAAGUUACCAGACGAUUCAUUUUAGUAUCUGCUUCACCUUUUCCUUAUUAAUUUUCAGAACGAAUGAGUCAGAAGCCUUGCAAACUCAGAAUGAAUGACUUCCUUUUUUGGUGAGUCUUCACAAACCCGUGGUGUAGCUUGGUCUUUUUCUGUCACUACCUGGCGUGCUUCCAAGGUCCUGCUGCUUUUAUUUUCUUGGUGCUCAUAGAUUUCCAUCUUCAGUCAAAGAGAGUCUUCCUUUGGACAUGGUCCCAGUUGUCUUUGUUGGAUGCCUUACUCUCAGAAACUCAGUGGAUGACAUAUCCACUAAGGUGCCUGGACUGGCAGCUUGCUCUCUCUUCUUUUUGAGGAUGCAGAGAUGAAACUGAGUACAGGGUAGGCAAGUGUUCAUCGAUGACCUCUAUCCCCAGCCCUUAACCUUCUCUAGUCUUUUAACAUUUAAAUUCAUAUGCUAAGUUGUUUCUUUCUGGAGAGCCCCAACUGACGUGAAAAUUGUCAUCUUCCUUCCUCAACCUCCCCAAUUACAAGGAUUUCAGGCCUGGCUUCUGGCCUUUCGCUUGGAGCUGAUUAUUCACCAGGAAUUUUCCUGACUAAGAUUCCCCUCUCUGACUUCUAGGCCUAAAGCUGAUGCUCUACGUUAUCAGCUUGUUUGGAGCUGAUUGAUGGCACACCCACCGUAUUUGUGAAAGUGUGGCAAAUUUCAGAUGCCGGCAGUCUCCCCACGGGGUUGGCAAAGCAGUGGCUAGAAGGUGGGCCCAUGAAGUACCAAAGAAGCCUCCAGAUUUUCAAAGUUUUCCUAUUUCCAGCUUCAGGAAUAGGUAGCUUGUUGGCAGUAGAUACCUGUGAGCUUAGGCCUUGAAAAGCAGAUGCAAAAACAAGAGGGUCAAAAGCUUGGGGUCAUCUUGGGUUGCAUGAAAGGAACCCAUCACCAAAAGAAGCAAAUGAAUAAACAAAUGAAUAUA